UGAACGCUGGCGGUAGGCUUAACACAUGCAAGUCGAGCGGAAACGAUGAUAGCUUGCUAUCAGGCGUCGAGCGGCGGACGGGUGAGUAACGCGUAGGAAUCUGCCUAGUAGUGGGGGACAACCUGUGGAAACGCAGGCUAAUACCGCAUAAUCCCUGAGGGGGAAAGGAGGGGAUCUUCGGACCUUUCGCUAUUAGAUGAGCCUGCGUGAGAUUAGCUAGUUGGUGAGGUAAAGGCUCACCAAGGCGACGAUCUCUAGCUGGUCUGAGAGGAUGAUCAGCCACACUGGGACUGAGACACGGCCCAGACUCCUACGGGAGGCAGCAGUGGGGAAUAUUGGACAAUGGGCGCAAGCCUGAUCCAGCCAUACCGCGUGUGUGAAGAAGGCCUUAGGGUUGUAAAGCACUUUCAGAAGGGAGGAAAGGGUGUUGCUUAAUACGUAACAUCUGUGACGUUACCUUCAGAAGAAGCACCGGCUAACUCU
rnacentral:rRNA from 1 species